UAACGUGAGACCCUAUCAAAAUAACCUUUAAAAAUAGUAUGCUGCCACCACAAUAGUUUAGAGAGUUAUUGAGCUCUUGGCCAAGCAUAAUCUAACGCUUGACCGAAAUGAAGAAACUUUUCUUCAUGAGAACUUUAAAGAGCUAGUGAACCACCAAUCAUAAUAGCCAUCUCAUGAUCCAUAAUAUCUGAGUUCUAUUACGAGCUCCGUGAUUGGUCCAUCUUCUCACAUCGACCGCCAACUUUUAGCAUCUCCAUUCUGCCAGAACCACAGAGGUUGAAGGAGCUCCGAUGAUCUGAAGAAAAACCAUCUUUUCUCCCAUCACAAGACUUCUGUCAUACUCCAGCGUCCUGACCUUCACAGCAGAAUUUAACUGGUGUUGGAGAAGGUAACAGCAAAUCUACCGGCAGACUGAUUUCUCUUCCAAGCAUCAUCAUAGCAGGACUCUCUCCAGUUGAUUCCUGGACUGCUGAUCUGUAUGCCAACAUCGCGAAUGGAAUCCUCUCAUCCCAGUCCUUCUGUUCACCAUCUGGAUUGAGCAAUGACGACACCAUACCCAUCUUCUUCAAUCUCCUACAAUGUCAAAAAUCGGUGCAAGGUUGUCUGGAUAACUCAUCAGCAUUUGAGUGAGCAUGUCCAGCACAAUUUUCCAAGGUGACGACUGCGCUCCAUCCCCUACUGCUCCGACGUGACGUGGCUUAUUCCUCUCUCCUGCCUUCUCCGUCUGUAGAAAAGACUCCAUUCGUCAGUACAGCUGCCAUCGCCUCAUCUAGCAUCCUGGGGUGAGCUCAGAAAAUAGCACCUCUGACCUCUCCAUCAAUUGCUACUGAGAAAACUAGCAAGCCUCUCCAGCAUCAAUGCUCAGCUCCGGGUAUGCCAGGCAAGUAAGUUCCCUAAUUGCCUGACCUAGUUCCUGUAGACUCUCCGCUGUCGAUGCCUAGUCCGCAGUUCCAGCAACAAGGUUUCAGCGUUCUCUCCAGGACCAAGUCAUCUGUCCAAAGUGAAGUCAGAUUGGGUAGGUGAGUUCCUGACCAUAUAGACUGUUUGAGACCUCCAGUUCUGCCUCUACGAGCCUCAUGGUGAGAACCUAUCCAGCGUCAACGUCAUUUCAACCAUUCAGCCUCCACAACUUCCGUAUCCAGCUGCUAACUCAGACUGUAGCUCGACGCUUGGUUUCACCAUAUUGAGUGUUAUAGUUUUGAUUUAUUUGGAUGUUUGAUUAAUUUUUAGUUUAGGUAUAAUACCUUUUCCUGUAUCAUGUCAAGCACACAUACCCUUACAUUGUAAAAGGAAUAGAUACAUUGUAAAAGGAGUAGAUUUCCUUAUUAUUCACAGUGAUUAAUUCACUGUCAUGUCCAUAGACAUAUUAAUGCUCAUUUUCCAUAUUCAAUCUUAACUUAUUUAAUGCACACUUGUAAUAAGGAACUCAAAACACAACUUAUUUAUUAUACAUAGCUUAAACAAUACAUUCUUAAAUAUCUACUAGUACCGUACACAACUAUACAUAAUAAUCGAAAAAAAUUUAUAUACUUAAUACAGAUCACUCUACUACUUAGCAGACAAAAAUGUACCGGUAUUUUUUUUUUCUUUUAAAAGUGGAGGGGUUCUUUGAAAAGACCAUCCCACCGCCGUGCCACCAAAAAUGUAAAUUUUUGUACAGGUAUUUUCCAAACAGACCAUCCCACCGCCGUGCCACCAAAAAUGUAACGUGAGACCCUAUCAAAAUAACCUUUAAAAAUAGUAUGCUGCCACCACAAUAGUUUAGAGAGUUAUUGAGCUCUUGGCCAAGCAUAAUCUAACGCUUGACCGAAAUGAAGAAACUUUUCUUCAUGAGAACUUUAAAGAGCUAGUGAACCACCAAUCAUAAUAGCCAUCUCAUGAUCCAUAAUAUCUGAGUUCUAUUACGAGCUCCGUGAUUGGUCCAUCUUCUCACAUCGACCGCCAACUUUUAGCAUCUCCAUUCUGCCAGAACCACAGAGGUUGAAGGAGCUCCGAUGAUCUGAAGAAAAACCAUCUUUUCUCCCAUCACAAGACUUCUGUCAUACUCCAGCGUCCUGACCUUCACAGCAGAAUUUAACUGGUGAGUUUACUCACUGAGUGAUUAAGUAAGAUUUAAUUAUAUAACCAUGAUAUUUCUCAUCUUUCAUUGAUAGAGUUAGCCAUGAACCAAUCUCUAUUCACUCACAUACAAAACGUUUUGUUCGCCUCGUGUUCUACACACACGAUCAGGCAUAUCCACAUCACACACGUGCAAUCGUAUGCACAUAGGCAAUCAUAGAAGCGGUCAGUCCUUGCUUCGCAAUCAAUCAUUCUAGUCUCUUUCAGUUCUCAAAUCCACUCUAUCACUGGGUCUCACUAGGUAAGCGUAGUUUUCCAAGCUCGAUGACGAGUUCCGUUUUCUUGCAAUAUACAAGGUUGGUCUAUAAAUAAACUAAGAACCCUAACUUAAAUAAUGCUUAAACUAAUUGUACGGUACUUCUUAUCCCUAAACACAUCAUCAAUCAAUCAUCACUAAUCAAUUGAUCACCAUUUCUAAUUCUAAGACUUAGCAACAAAUCCAAUUUAUUGGAUUCAUCAUUCUCAACAAACACUGAUCACUAAUCAUGUUCCUUCUAGAUUCAAGUGUGCAAGUUCAAUUAUUGAUUCCUAAGAAAUAACAAGUAAAGUUCAACUGAACUUUAAUAUAAGAAAAACUUGAAGUUAACAAUUCUUCUGAAACAUUUCAACAAUAAAAUUUGGAUAUUUACAUCAAUUUGCAUAAGUAUAAAAUUCAUUGAAUAUGGAAUGAGCAAUAUAAAAUUGUAUAACUUACUCUAGGCCUACAUAGUAAAGAACUUAAAUGUAAGUCUGUGCAUGUCACUCUUAAAUUGAUAGAAUGAUAAAUAGAAUAAUAAUUAAUUACUAACUUAAUAAAUCCUAUGUAUUCACUGUUUUAAAUACACUAAGCAAUAAUCUGUAUCAAUUGUAAAUAUCGAGCUGUAGCUAAACUACAUCCUACUUAGUUCUGUACUUUAUACUCCGUAGAGUUGUGUUCUCUCUAAGAAUUAUUUCAACUUAAGACUGUAAUCUACUCUCCACAAAAGUUCCAGGACCAAUGGUUCUUUUCUGUCGUUCUGACUUAUGUGAGUAAUCCUAUCUAAACUGCCAGCAGUUACUCAACACCUUUCUCCAUCCAAUGUCACUAACCCAAUACAACACACCAAUCUCCAAUAAUAUCCUUAUCCUAUCAACCUCUCAACGGGCCUUGUUUACCAGCCUUACAGCGCCUACAAAACUUCCACUCACUUUGUCGGUGUGAAGUUUGUAACAACAUCCAACAUUCUGUGUGAUGAAAAGCCUCAGAAAUCCGUAAAUAUCUCUAAUCAUCACGGGUUCAAGAAUAGACUCACAUAGUACCUUUCUUAGCAUUAAAGCCUACCGGAAACUUUAACCUCGUCCCUGCUGUCUGAGAAUACAGCUAAGUGAAAACAAGUCUAAAAGACCAACACCUAAGCAAUUAUUCCUAUUUCACUGUAACUAAAUCAACCAUCUAUUAAUACAGUGUCAAUAUUCUAAAUGAAGAAUUAAGCUUCAUCUAUAAACUGAGUUUCCUUCAGUCUAUGACCAUAAACAUAAAGUAUUCUUAAUAAAACAUGUGAAUGACUGCACAGAGAGUUUGAAUUAUUUACAAGUUGUUUACAAAUGCUUUCUGAUUGAUAAUCAGCUAUUUACAUUUCAUUGAUUAUUCACAUAGAUUACCUUGUAAUCUUAAUGUCAGAAUCAAUAUUCUAGUUACAUUGUAUUCGUUAGAUUAUCAGAAUUAAUAUUCAGUAUUCUGAUCUGAAUAACAUUAAGCAUUCUGAUAUGUAUAACAUUAAGUAUUCUGAUCUUAUAACAUGAAGUAUUCUGAUCUUAUAACAUGAAGUAUUCUGAUCUUAAUAACUACGGGAAUAGCAUGCUUGACACCUAUGUAACACGUGAUCUUAACAUCCGAACACUCAUGAUGACUAGCUUUGUUUAGUGUGAUCCUAUUUGUAUAUGAUGUAAGAAAUGUAAAUAAAUAAUCAAAGUCAUUAAUCCUGAAA